GUCUAUGGCCAUACCACCCUGAACGCGCCCGAUCUCGUCUGAUCGCAGAAGCUAAGCAGGGUCGGGCCUGGUUAGUACUUGGAUGGGAGAAGAACUGCUGUUUGUGUAGAGU
rnacentral:rRNA from 1 species